AUACUCUAAUCAAGGACCCUAUUUUCGUGUGGACCACGCUAAGUCGCUUAAAGUCUUCUAGUGGAGACAAAUGUCUUCCACUUGCCUAAAGGCGUUUAAAUGUCCUCCACUAAUUUUUCGAAAAGGCUUAUCAUAAUCUACAGGACGUUGGUUUACUUGACUUUAAGUGCUGUCCUUCGUGGAUAUAUAUCACGGAAGUAAAGAGGCGUUAAUUCGGGUCUCCUACAGCCAUUGAGCCAUAAAUGGAUUACAAGACUUCCAUUAGGCUUAUCAUAAUCUCGAUGCUUUUCUUUCUGUUUCUCUCAUCUACAAUGGUGAUUGCUGACCCAAGCGAUAUCGUCCCAUCAGCCAAAAAGAAGAGUUCCUUGCCACGAGCAGUUGUUGUCCAGAGGGAACUUUAUAAGAAACCCCCGGUUGAGUGGUCAAGACGUGAUCCUAGUGUUAAUGAUCGUUAAUAUUGCUAAGAUAGCCAUGAAUUAUUUAGUAUCCAUGAGACGUUGUACUCACUCGUCCAUCAUUUAUAUGAAAUAAGAGUACUCAUGGAUUGUUGUAUUGCAGAGAUACUGAAUAGUUUUCUAAGAUUGUGGCAACAUUCAGGGAGUUGUUAUGUAAUAAGUAGACUGAAGUACACGUUCAGUAAUAAAGUUUGGGUUGUUUUUAUUUUGAUCAUUUA